UACGAAGGGGGCGAGCGUUGUUCGGAUUUACUGGGCGUAAAGGGCGCGUAGGCGGUUUGGUAAGUCUUAUGUGAAAUCUACAGGCUCAACUUGUAGUCUGCAUGAGAAACUGCCGGGCUUGAGUAUGGGAGAGGUGAGUGGAAUUCCUGGUGUAGCGGUGAAAUGCGUAGAUAUCAGGAGGAACACCUGUGGCGAAAGCGGCUCACUGGACCAUAACUGACGCUGAUGCACGAAAGCUAGGGGAGCAAACAGG
rnacentral:rRNA from 1 species